UAACACUUACAGGGAUCCAAACGGCCUCUUUGUAUUUUUUUGGCUAGAGAACUCUCUCUCUCUCUCUCUCUCUCUCUCUGCGGCAUUUCAAUGGAAUCGGCUCCAUGCCCCACAACUCCAAGAUGGAACGUCGAUCGUCCAUUUCUGACGGGCAGAUUCCAUCAGGAAAUCAGGCCUUCUUCCAACACUCAAACAGCAGGUGGCGUGAAAGGAAUCGCUUCUGAUUCCUUCAGCAAUCGGGGCUCACAAAAUUCAGUUGGUUAUUAUCAUAACUCUGUUCAGGAGCUGUUAGUAAUUGAGGAUCUGCUUUCUGCCAUGGUUGGAAUUGAGGGGCGGUACAUUUCAAUCAAAAGAGUUUGUGGGAAGGACAGUCAAGUUGCCUUUCAGGUUGAUGCAUCCAUGGACUUGGCGCUGCAGGAAAUGGCAAAAAGGAUAUUUCCUCUUUGUGAAAACUUUCUGGCAAUUAGUCAGUUCGUUGAAUUGAGAUCGCAAUUCAAAAAUGGCUUGGUCAAUCAUGCCUUUGCUGCUGCACUAAGGGCUCUCCUUCUAGAUUACCAGGCCAUGGUGGCACAACUAGAGCACCAAUUCCGACUUGGAAGACUUUCCAUUCAAGGAUUAUGGUUUUUCUGUCAGCCUAUGAUGGGAUCAAUGCAUGCUUUGUCGAUUGUGAUAGAGAAGGCUUCUGCAAACGAUCUUUCAGGUUCAGCAGUUCUUAAUCUCUUGCAGAGCCAGGCCAAGGCAAUGGCUGGUGAUAAUGCAGUGAGGUCAUUGCUGGAGAAGAUGACUCAAUGUGCUAGUGCUGCAUAUCUCCGCAUAUUAGAAAGGUGGGUCUAUGAAGGGGUGAUUGAUGACCCUUAUGGUGAAUUCUUUAUUGCUGAGAACAAAUUACUGCAAAAGGAGAGUCUCACUCAAGAUUAUGAUGCUAAGUUCUGGCAACAACGUUACAGCCUCAAGGAUGGCAUUCCAAGCUUCCUCACGAGUGCUGCGGGGACAAUUUUGACAACUGGAAAAUAUUUAAAUGUCAUGAGAGAAUGUGGACAUAAUGUUCAGGUUCCCAUAUCAGAAAAUUCAAAAUUGACGAGCUUUGGAUCAAACCACCAUUAUCUUGAGUGUAUCAAAGCUGCUUAUGAUUUUGCAAGUGGCGAGCUCUUGAAUCUUAUUAAAGAAAAGUAUGAUCUUAUGGGGAAACUAAGGUCGUUGAAGCGGUAUCUUCUUCUUGAUCAGGGUGAUUUCUUGGUUCAUUUUAUGGAUAUAGCUCGAGAUGAGCUUGUUAAAAGGCCUGAUGAUAUAUCUGUAGAGAAACUGCAGUCUCUUCUAGACCUUGCUUUGCGGACCACAGCUGCAGCAGCAGAUCCUUGUCACGAGGAACUGACAUGUUGUGUGGAAAGAUCUUCUUUGCUUAAUGGAUUGGGGACUCUCAGUGAUCUGGAAUAUGGGAUGAAAAAUUUACUUUCUACUCCUGAAGUUCAGAAGCAUGUUUCUGAUGGUAAUGAUCAGACAGAGCCAGUAAGUGUCACUGGCCUAGAAACGUUCUCUCUGAGUUACAAGGUGCAAUGGCCAUUGUCCCUUGUGAUUUCCAGAAAAGCCUUGACAAAGUAUCAGUUGAUUUUCCGAUUCCUGUUUCAUUGUAAACACGUCAACCGGCAACUUUGUGGAGCAUGGCAAGUCCAUCAAGUAUGUGGGGUUCGUGCUUUUAACAAAUUGGGAACAGCCAUCUCCCGCUCUUCAGUGCUUUGCCGCAGCAUGCUUAAAUUUAUUAAUAGCCUUUUACAUUAUUUGACAUUUGAGGUUCUUGAACCCAAUUGGCAUGUGAUGCACAAUAGACUUCUAACUGCAAAGAGCAUAGAUGAGGUUAUCCAACACCACGAUUUUUUCCUUAAAAAAUGUCUGAAAGAGUGCCUGCUUCUCUUGCCUCAACUUCUCAAGAAGGUGGAGAAACUGAAAUCAAUAUGCCUUCAAUAUGCAGCAGCAAUUCAAUGGUUGGUACCAUCACUCUACAUUCCCAAGCCCGAGACCAUCGAGAGUUCUUCCAGACAGGAAAAAUCCAAACCUAGGAGAUCAAGGCAUAGACUCGAGGAAUUAAAUUUAUCUCCGGAGAACAUGUCUGUCAGUGAUUCUGUUAUGAAAUUUGAGAAGGAAUUCAAUACCGAACUUCAGAGUCUCAGACCCAUACUAAGCAGCAGUUCACAAGCUGAGCCGUACUUGACACAUCUCGCACAGUGUAUUCUGGGCAUCGGAAAUGAUUAAUUGCCAUCUUAUGACAACUUGCUUUCCUUUUUGUGGAUCAAUGGAUCUGACCGCGGUUUGCCAUAGGCUGAAUCCUCAAUGAAAUACAUGAUCACACAAGUGGUUCAUCUUUGUCAUGAUGGUUUGUGGUUGUCAUAACUAACGGCUAUAAGACAGUGACCUGCAUGGAGGCUGGCCGCGGGAAUAAAUACCAUGACGUAGUGUUGGUAUUGGAAUUCCCCCUCAAUCUCUACCAAGUAAUGAUUAUGGAAACUGCAAUUUUUAAUUGACCAUUUGUAGCAUUGAUGGAAAUGAUCAAGGUGCCCAUGCGGCCCACAUUCAUGUAUACGUGUGUGAUCAAGGAGAUGGAACAGCUCUAGCUGAAUAGCAACAUGGCCUCCAUUAAAAGCUGCUGUGAGCCCAGGUAUUUGCCCGAAAAACUAGGAGCUUUGGUUUAUAUGGGGGUAUAUUCAUCAUUUCAUUUCCAAUUAGGUCGGUAAUGGUUGGUGACAAUGAUGGAUUAGAAAGAAAAACAAGUUAUAUUUAU